rnacentral:rRNA from 1 species
GUGGGGAAUUUUGGACAAUGGGCGAAAGCCUGAUCCAGCAAUGCCGCGUGCAGGAUGAAGGCCCUCGGGUUGUAAACUGCUUUUGUACGGAACGAAAAGCCUGGGGCUAAUAUCCCCGGGUCAUGACGGUACCGUAAGAAUAAGCACCGGCUAACUACGUGCCAGCAGUCGCGGUAAUACGUAGGGUGCAAGCGUUAAUCGGAAUUACUGGGCGUAAAGCGUGCGCAGGCGGUUUUGUAAGACAGUGGUGAAAUCCCCGGGCUCAACCUGGGAACUGCCAUUGUGACUGCAAGGCUAGAGUGCGGCAGAGGGGGAUGGAAUUCCGCGUGUAGCAGUGAAAUGCGUAGAUAUGCGGAGGAACACCGAUGGCGAAGGCAAUCCCCUGGGCCUGCACUGACGCUCAUGCACGAAAGCGUGGGGAGCAAACAGGAUUAGAAACCCUUGUAGUCC